CCUACGGGAGGCAGCAGUGAGGAAUAUUGGUCAAUGGACGCGAGUCUGAACCAGCCAUGUCGCGUGAAGGAAGACGGCUCUAUGAGUUGUAAACUUCUUUUGUACAGGAGUAAAGGGAGACACGUGUGUCUGUUUGUAUGUACCUUAUGAAUAAGGAUCGGCUAACUCCGUGCCAGCAGCCGCGGUAAUACGGAGGAUUCAAGCGUUAUCCGGAUUUAUUGGGUUUAAAGGGUGCGUAGGUGGUCUGUUAAGUUAGUGGUGAAAGUUUGCGGCUCAACCUUGAAAUUGCAAUUGAUACUGGUCGGCUUGAGUGCAGUUGCGGUAGGCGGAAUGCGUGGUGUAGCGGUGAAAUGCUUAGAUAUCAUGCAGAACUCCGAUUGCGAAGGCAGCAUACCAAGCUAACACUGACGCUGAGGCACGAAAGCGUGGGGAUCAAACAGGAUUAGAUACCCCUGUAGUC
rnacentral:rRNA from 1 species